rnacentral:rRNA from 1 species
CCUACGGGAGGCAGCAGUGGGGAAUAUUGGGCAAUGGGCGCAAGCCUGACCCAGCAACGCCGCGUGAAGGAAGAAGGCUUGCGGGUUGUAAACUUCUUUUCUCAGGGAAGAAGAAAGUGACGGUAACGUAGGAAUAAGCAACGGCUAACUACGUGCCAGCAGCCGCGGUAAUACGUAGGUGGCAAGCGUUAUACGGAUUUAUUGGGUGUAAAGGGCGUGUAGGCGGGAGGGAAAGUCAGAUGGGAAAACUCAGGGCUCAACCCUGAGCCUGCAUUGGAAACUGUGUUUCUUGAGUGCUGGGGAGGCAAUCGGAAUUCCCUGUGUAGCGGUGAAAUGCGUAGAUAUCCGGAGGAACACCAGUGGCGAAGGCGGCUUGCUGGACAGUACCUGACGCUGAGGCUC